CUGCUUGAGUUGCCACCAGUGGCCUACUUCUCCCACUAGUAUGUAGAUGGCAAAUAUGACUAUAUGUUCGGAAAUCACCCCAAGAGUCGUGAAGGCCUUCUCUGUAUCAGCCAACAAGUAGUAGGCCUCUUCAAAUGAGGAUACCCCUGCAAACGUUGAUGGGUUUAGUCUUUUAUACCUCUCAAUGUAGCCUACGUCCAUAAUGGGAGGAACUAGGUCCUGUGGAAGAGGGAUUGGAUUGUGUUGGGGAUGGACUGCAUGGCCCAAUGGUGGUACUAGAUGAUACGGUGGAGGCACCAGAUUGUAUUGUAGUGGUGCCGGGUGAUGCGGUUAGGGCACCGGGCUAUACUAUGGUGGUGCCAGGUGAUGCAGUUGGGGCACCGGACCAUGCUGUGGUGGUGUUGGAUGGUAUUGUGGAGGAGCAUGGUCAUAUCAGGAUGGCCAGGAUCCUCCCGCUACAGGUGUGGCUCAACCUGUGGCAGCGGGGGAGGGUUAGGUAGCUCCUUCCUUUUCUACCGAGCUUAUUGGGCAACAAUAAGUCUCUCCAACAUUUCAAAUAGUCGAUUCACAUCCUCUCGAAUUG
rnacentral:lncRNA from 1 species